AAAUCCUCCCUUACUCAGUUUUUUCAUUCCAUUCAGGCCUUCGAAGGAUUGUAUGAGGCCCACCUAUAUUGGGGAAGGCAAUCUGCUUUACUCAGUCUGCAAAUUCAAAUGUUAAUCUCAUCCAGAAACAUGCAAAAUAAUGCUUAACUUCCCAGUCAAGUUGAUCCAUAAAAUUAGCCAUCACAAUGCUAAAGGAGUGCUGAAGCAUGACUGCAACAGACUUGCAGUUGUGCAGGAGAUCCAUUCAGCCGCACAGAGAUGACCGGAAAAAUGGCUGGCGCAGGAUCUGUGCCAAAUGCGAGGCUGCCCUUGCCACUAAGGACUUCUAACAUUGCAACUAUCAAGAUGAUGAUGAACUCAUCAACAGAUGGAGAGAGACUGCUGUAUUUUGAAGGACUCUGGAUAAUAAAUAGGUAAUACUGAUAAAUCUUAUACUUAUUUUUGUUUAAACUGGGAAAAAUAAAGCAAUGGUAG
rnacentral:lncRNA from 1 species